GUUGUAUGGUUAAGUGACUAAGCGUACACGGUGGAUGCCUUGGCAGUCAGAGGCGAUGAAAGACGUAGUAACUUGCGAUAAGCCCAGAUUAGGUAGUAACAACCAUUUGAGUCUGGGAUUUCUGAAUGGGGAAACCCACGUGCAUAAGCACGUAUCCUUACCUGAAUACAUAGGGUAAGGAGGCGAACCGGGGGAACUGAAACAUCUAAGUACCCCGAGGAAAAGAAAUCAACCGAGAUUCCGAAAGUAGCGGCGAGCGAAAUUGGACUAGCCCUUAAGCUUUACACGCGUUAGACGAACGGUCUGGAAAGUCCGACGAUACAGGGUGAUAGUCCCGUAGUUGACGACGUGUGUUCAGUGAAAUCGAGUAGGGCGGGACACGUGAUAUCCUGUCUGAAUAUGGGGGGACCAUCCUCCAAGGCUAAAUACUACUGACUGACCGAUAGUGAACCAGUACCGUGAGGGAAAGGCGAAAAGAACCCCUGUGAGGGGAGUGAAAUAGAACCUGAAACCGUGUACGUACAAGCAGUAGGAGCAGGCUUUGUCCUGUGACUGCGUACCUUUUGUAUAAUGGGUCAGCGACUUAUAUUCAGUGGCAAGGUUAACCAUCUAGGGGAGCCGUAGGGAAACCGAGUCUUAACUGGGCGUUCAGUCUCUGGAUAUAGACCCGAAACCAGGUGAUCUAGCCAUGGGCAGGUUGAAGGUUGAGUAACAUCAACUGGAGGACCGAACCGACUAAUGUUGAAAAAUUAGCGGAUGACUUGUGGCUAGGGGUGAAAGGCCAAUCAAACCUGGAGAUAGCUGGUUCUCCCCGAAAGCUAUUUAGGUAGCGCCUCGGACGAAUACUACUGGGGGUAGAGCACUGUUAAGGCUAGGGGGUCAUCCCGACUUACCAACCCUUUGCAAACUCCGAAUACCAGUAAGUACUAUCCGGGAGACACACGGCGGGUGCUAACGUCCGUCGUGGAGAGGGAAACAACCCAGACCGCCAGCUAAGGUCCCAAAUUACUACUAAGUGGGAAACGAUGUGGGAAGGCUCAGACAGCCAGGAUGUUGGCUUAGAAGCAGCCAUCAUUUAAAGAAAGCGUAAUAGCUCACUGGUCGAGUCGGCCUGCGCGGAAGAUGUAACGGGGCUAAGUAGUAAACCGAAGCUGCGGCAAUAUACUUUUGUAUAUUGGGUAGGGGAGCGUUCUGUAAGCGGUUGAAGGUGUGUGGUAACGCAUGCUGGACGUAUCAGAAGUGCGAAUGCUGACAUGAGUAACGAUAAAGGGGGUGAAAAACCUCCUCGCCGGAAGACCAAGGGUUCCUGUCCAACGUUAAUCGGGGCAGGGUAAGUCGACCCCUAAGGCGAGGCCGAAAGGCGUAGUCGAUGGGAAACGGGUUAAUAUUCCCGUACUUCUUACAAUUGCGAUGGGGGGACGGAGAAGGCUAGGUGGGCCUGGCGACGGUUGUCCAGGUUCAAGUGCGUAGGCUUAAGAGUUAGAUAAAUCCGGCUCUUUCUAAGGCUGAGACACGACGUCGAGCACCUACGGGUGUGAAGUCAUUGAUGCCAUGCUUCCAGGAAAAGCCUCUAAGCUUCAGAUUGUAAGGAAUCGUACCCCAAACCGACACAGGUGGUCGGGUAGAGAAUACCAAGGCGCUUGAGAGAACUCGGGUGAAGGAACUAGGCAAAAUGGUACCGUAACUUCGGGAGAAGGUACGCUCUUGAUGGUGAAGUCCCUUGCGGAUGGAGCUGACGAGAGUCGCAGAUACCAGGUGGCUGCAACUGUUUAUUAAAAACACAGCACUGUGCAAAAUCGUAAGAUGACGUAUACGGUGUGACGCCUGCCCGGUGCCGGAAGGUUAAUUGAUGGGGUUAGACUUCGGUCGAAGCUCUUGAUCGAAGCCCCGGUAAACGGCGGCCGUAACUAUAACGGUCCUAAGGUAGCGAAAUUCCUUGUCGGGUAAGUUCCGACCUGCACGAAUGGCGUAAUGAUGGCCACGCUGUCUCCACCCGAGACUCAGUGAAAUUGAAAUCGCUGUGAAGAUGCAGUGUACCCGCGGCUAGACGGAAAGACCCCGUGAACCUUUACUACAGCUUGGCACUGAACAUUGACCCUACAUGUGUAGGAUAGGUGGGAGGCUUUGAAGCACGUACGCCAGUAUGUGUGGAGCCGUCCUUGAAAUACCACCCUUGUAGUGUUGAUGUUCUAACGUCGACCCCUUAUCGGGGUUGCGGACAGUGCCUGGUGGGUAGUUUGACUGGGGCGGUCUCCUCCCAAAGAGUAACGGAGGAGCACGAAGGUGGGCUAAUCACGGUUGGACAUCGUGAGGUUAGUGCAAUGGCAUAAGCCCGCUUGACUGCGAGAAUGACAAUUCGAGCAGGUGCGAAAGCAGGUCAUAGUGAUCCGGUGGUUCUGAAUGGAAGGGCCAUCGCUCAACGGAUAAAAGGUACUCCGGGGAUAACAGGCUGAUACCGCCCAAGAGUUCAUAUCGACGGCGGUGUUUGGCACCUCGAUGUCGGCUCAUCACAUCCUGGGGCUGAAGUCGGUCCCAAGGGUAUGGCUGUUCGCCAUUUAAAGUGGUACGCGAGCUGGGUUUAGAACGUCGUGAGACAGUUCGGUCCCUAUCUGCCGUGGGCGUUGGAAGAUUGAAGGGGGCUGCUCCUAGUACGAGAGGACCGGAGUGGACGAACCUCUGGUGUUCGGGUUGUGUCGCCAGACGCAUUGCCCGGUAGCUAAGUUCGGAAUCGAUAACCGCUGAAAGCAUCUAAGCGGGAAGCGAGCCCUGAGAUGAGUCUUCCCUGAUACUUUAAGUAUCCUAAAGGGUUGUCGGAGACUACGACGUUGAUAGGUCAGGUGUGUAAGUGCUGUGAGGCAUUGAGCUAACUGAUACUAAUUGCCCGUGAGGCUUAACCAUACAACACCCAAGGGGUUU
rnacentral:rRNA from 1 species